UUAUUGGUAAGCGGCACAUUUCACAAUUUGUUCUCAUAAUUACUAAGUAUUAACAAGAAAGCUUUAUGAAUGGGUAAGUAGUGAAGAAAACGUCCUCUGGAGAGCUUAAAUAUGUGAAAAAUGAAUUAUUAUUACAUUAUGUCUGAAUUUACUAAAAUAAUAAUCUCGUUUGAAGUGGAGCUUCAACCAUAAUCCCAUAUUGUCCUUUGUAUGUUUCAGUGAUUUUGCCAGUCUUCAUCGCCACCAUUGUCGUCUUCCUGGUGCUAGUAUGUGCUCUACUCUUUGUUAUCAGGGCUCAGAGGACUCAACACAACCUGCUUAAGAGUCAGGGGUCAGGUAAUGCCAGCACAGUUGCCAUGAGCCAACAUCUACCAAGUGGAGAAGGAAACGAGGAACCCAACAAAACAGAUGAGGACAUUUAUGUCAACACCU